rnacentral:lncRNA from 1 species
AUCACAGCAGGGAGCUCCAGCGCCGGGGGUGCCAGCGAGGAUUCGGAAACACAAACAGGCACCCACACGCCUGCCUGCCUGGCAGAAAAGGGCACCCCUCCCCUUCAAACGUGGGCCGUCCCUGCUCCCUUCACCUGCAGAGGGAAGGCGGGCAGGCGCCGGCUGGCUGGCAUUCCCGUCCAUUUAAAGGACUUCCAUGCACCCCCUCCAGCAGUUUGCAGCCGAGAGCGGCGCUCGUUUAAGGCUACCAAACGGUCCAGUCAGUCGGAGGCGGACGCUGGCCCCACAUUUCAUCACCUGGGGGGGACAAAGGUGCCCCGAGGUCUUCCUCCCACACGCACCGCUCAAGGUGCAAGCAGCUCGUGGGCGCCUGAAGCCCAUCCCCCCCCCACCUCCUCACAGGCCACCACCGGGCAAUCUGAGGCUUCGCUUGGGGGUUUCCCACGUUCCAUCGACAGCAAAACGUACGAGCGAUCUGGGGCCCGACACGACCAUCUCGGGCAAAGACCCGAACAACUGAAUUACAGAAAAACCUUCACCCCGAGCUGUUUCCAGGCAGCUGGAGGGAACAGGGGACUCCAAAACCCACUCACAACUUUCAUCUUGGGGGGUGGCCCUCCAGAGGUCCUUCGGACGGGCCUGGGAGCCGCUCCGAGUCUCGCCUGAGGCGGUUUGUCUGUUCCUGCCCCGCUUCUCGCCCCAAGCAGCUCACGACGUGUUUAAACAAAGAACUGGCACAGUACAGGUAAAAACACCACAAGUUAUCAUUUUAAAACACAAGGUUAUGCCCUGCAGAGAUUUAAAUUCCCGGCCCCAGGAGUUUCAGCCCACAGACGUGGAACUAAUAGUGAGCAUCUUCCCCUAAGGGGGAAAGAUGUUGAAAGAGGCCCACUAUAGACAUACAAAGGAAGCAGACAGUGGAAAUGAUCGCUUCUUGAUCAAAAUUGCCUUCAAUACACAUUUUUAUGCAGUUUCUCAGGAGUAGGGUCGUGGGUGUUCCACUUUUUCAUUUUUAUGACCCAAAAUAUUGGCAGCUUAGUUUCACUGACUCUUCAAAGCCUGAGAACAUUUAUGUCAUAACAAUUGCAAUAUAAGACUCUUGUUGUUGUUUUUCGAGCCACCAAGUGGCCCCAGAAUAAAUCUGUUCUCCUGACUUUUUCCUCCCA